rnacentral:rRNA from 1 species
AGAGUUUGAUCCUGGCUCAGGAUGAACGCUGGCGGCGUGCCUAAGACAUGCAAGUCGAGUGGGUUUAGACCCACGGCGAACGGGUGAGUAAUACAUAGGUACUUUCUCUAAGUUGAGCAUAUCCUCCCGAAAGGGAGUGCAAUUCUCAAUGUGAACGCAAGUUUAAAGUCGCAAGACGCUUAGAGUGAGGCCUGUGUCCCAUCAGCUUGUUGGUAAGGUAAUGGCUUACCAAGGCUAUGACGGGUAGCGGGUCCGAGAGGAUGAUCCGCCACACUGGGACUGCGACACGGCCCAGACUCCUACGGGAGGCAGCAGUAGGGAAUCUUCCGCAAUGGACGAAAGUCUGACGGAGCAACGCCGCGUGAGUGAUGAAGGCUUUCGGGUCGUAAAACUCUGUUGUUAGGGAAGAACAAGUACAAGAGUAACUGCUUGUACCUUGACGGUACCUAACCAGAAAGCCACGGCUAACUACGUGCCAGCAGCCGCGGUAAUACGUAGGUGGCAAGCGUUAUCCGGAAUUAUUGGGCGUAAAGCGCGCGCAGGCGGUUUCUUAAGUCUGAUGUGAAAGCCCACGGCUCAACCGUGGAGGGUCAUUGGAAACUGGGGAACUUGAGUGCAGAAGAGAAAAGCGGAAUUCCACGUGUAGCGGUGAAAUGCGUAGAGAUGUGGAGGAACACCAGUGGCGAAGGCGGCUUUCUGGUCUGUAACUGACGCUGAGGCGCGAAAGCGUGGGGAGCAAACAGGAUUAGAUACCCUGGUAGUCCACGCCGUAAACGAUGAGUGCUAAGUGUUAGAGGGUUUCCGCCCUUUAGUGCUGCAGCUAACGCAUUAAGCACUCCGCCUGGGGAGUACGGCCGCAAGGCUGAAACUCAAAGGAAUUGACGG